rnacentral:rRNA from 1 species
AGCGUAUAUUAAAGUUGUUGCAGUUAAAAAGCUCGUAGUUGAAUUUCGGGGUCAGUAGGUUGGUCGUGCCACCGGUACGUACUGGUCUCACUGAUUCCUCCUUCCUGAUGAGCUGUAAUGCCAUUAAUUUGGUGUUGCAGGGAAUCUGGACUGUUACUUUGAAAAAAUUAGAGUGUUUAAAGCAGGCUAACGCUUGAAUACAUUAGCAUGGAAUAAUGAAAUAGGACGUUCGAUCCUAUUUUGUUGGUUUCUAGGAUUGACGUAAUGAUUAAUAGGGAUAGUUGGGGGCAUUAGUAUUCAAUUGUCAGAGGUGAAAUUCUUGGAUUUAUUGAGGACUAACUACUGCGAAAGCAUUUGCCAAGGAUGUUUUCAUUAAUCAAGAACGAAAGUUAGGGGAUCGAAGACGAUCAGAUACCGUCGUAGUCUUAACCAUAAACUAUGCCGACUAGGGAUCGGAUGAUGUUAAUUUUUUAAUGACUCAUUC